AACAAAAAAAAAUUUUUUUAAGUUUGAGGUGGGAGUAUCACUUGAGCCUAUGGAUUCUGGUUCAGUGUGCUAUGCCAAUUAGGUGUUCCCACUAAUUGAGUGUUCAGCAUCAAUGUGGUGACCUCCCAGGAGUGGGAGACCACCAGGUUGCCUAAGGAGGGGUGAACCGGAGCAGGUCAAAACUCCUGUGAUGACCAGUAGUGAGAUGUGGCCUGUGAAUAGCUACUGCACUCCAGCCUGGACAACAUAGCAAGAUCCUAUCUCU
rnacentral:SRP_RNA from 1 species